GAUGAACGCUGGCGGCGUGCCUAAUACAUGCAAGUCGAGCGAACAGACGAGGAGCUUGCUCCUCUGACGUUAGCGGCGGACGGGUGAGUAACACGUGGAUAACCUACCUAUAAGACUGGGAUAACUUCGGGAAACCGGAGCUAAUACCGGAUAAUAUAUUGAACCGCAUGGUUCAAUAGUGAAAGACGGUUUUGCUGUCACUUAUAGAUGGAUCCGCGCCGCAUUAGCUAGUUGGUAAGGUAACGGCUUACCAAGGCAACGAUGCGUAGCCGACCGGAGAGGGUGAUCGGCCACACUGGAACUGAGCCACGGUCCAGACUCCUACGGGAGGCAGCAGUAGGGAAUCUUCCGCAAUGGGCGAAAGCCUGACGGAGCAACGCCGCGUGAGUGAUGAAGGUCUUCGGAUCGUAAAACUCUGUUAUUAGGGAAGAACAAAUGUGUAAGUAACUAUGCACGUCUUGACGGUACCUAAUCAGAAAGCCACGGCUAACUACGUG
rnacentral:rRNA from 1 species